rnacentral:siRNA from 1 species
UCAUUAGGGAGAAUCUUCUGGUU